UGGCGGCGUGCUUAACACAUGCAAGUCGAACGAAGCAUUUGCGACGGAUUCUUUCGGGAUGAAGAUGCUUAUGACUGAGUGGCGGACGGGUGAGUAACGCGUGGGUAACCUGCCUUGUACAGGGGGAUAACAGUUGGAAACGGCUGCUAAUACCGCAUAAGCGCACAGUACCGCAUGGUUUAGUGUGAAAAACUCCGGUGGUAUAAGAUGGACCCGCGUUUGAUUAGCUAGUUGGUGGGGCAACGGCCUACCAAGGCGACGAUCAGUAGCCGGUCUGAGAGGAUGAACGGCCACAUUGGAACUGAGACACGGUCCAGACUCCUACGGGAGGCAGCAGUGGGGAAUCUUCCGCAAUGGGCGAAAGCCUGACGGAGCAACGCCGCGUGAGUGAAGAAGGUCUUCGGAUCGUAAAGCUCUGUUGUCGGGGACGAAUGUUGAGACCAAGAACAUAGGUUUCAAAUGACGGUACCUGACGAGGAAGCCACGGCUAACUACGUG
rnacentral:rRNA from 1 species